rnacentral:sRNA from 1 species
AUGCCUGUAAAAUGUGUUGCUACUGUUGAAUCUUUAAAAAAUUAAGCAAGAACUUGGGGUAACGUUUCGGGUAAUUUGUUGUAAUAUUAAUAUUUUCUCCAUAUGACAUGAUGUGGGCGCUGCCACCCUGUCACAGGGUUGCAUUCGGUUGAGGUAGUUGCCAGAUCGGCCAAAUUACUUUACAAUCAAUAAAGAGGCUCCAUCCAGUGUCUCCCAGAAAAUGCAAUAUAGUCAAAGAACCUUAUACAGAAAGCCUUUAAACAGAGCACCUCCCGGACCUAGAGUAAAGAUCGGAAUGUUGUAACUCUAACAGAAAAGCUUUAUGUGAAAGUGGCCAAAAACCUGCCUGACAAGAGAACACAAAUUCAGAAGGGAAGCCAAAUCAUGAGUAGCCUAGUUGUAGAGCAGAACAGUGUCCCAGCAAUCAAGGCGACCACGGCGAUGAAGGCGAUCUCUCGGCAGCGGUCCAAUCGAUUCAGCCCAAGUACCCUGGAUCCUCGGAAAUAGCCACGUUUAACACGCUGCAAUCUUUAAAGGUACGGAGCUGCGUCAAUGCUUUGAAAUUUGAUUUUCCUCGAUGAUGACUCAGAACGGAUAUCCGAGAAUGAUCCAAUUUGGGGGUCGCUGGGCACGAGUUACUGUGCGGCGUCUGUUCAAGGGCAUUCCAAGAUUAUGAAUUCAAUACCUGAAUUUGUGCCGCAAGAUCUCAAUGGGUCGCUGAAGGGCUGCCUACGAUCCAGAUGCCAAAAUGCCAAAAGCAUGCCCUGGCUUGGAUGUCUUCGCGUGAGAAUUAGAGUCCACGUGUCGGCAUUUUGGCCGAUGAUAUGGGCUUAAGCAAGACCCUGAAAAUGAUUUCAGGAGAGCAAAGUGAAGGAGAGAAGGGUACAAACGGAAAAGCACUGGUGGAUGGAAUUCGAAGGGCCGAAAAACUCAUCUUGGUGGCAGCUUAGUCAUGUGCCCGGCUAGCUUGCUGCGCCAGUGGGAGGGAAAUGGUCAUCAUGGCAACAAGCGCUAGACAAAGGCCAAACAAAAUCGUGAUGUUUCAGACUACAAGAAACAAGAGCAACAGAACCGUCUGCAGCUGGAAAGAAAAUUGAACAGCUUGCCCUGCAAGGAGUUGCGUAUGAUUGAGAUUUCCCUUAUCUUUUUGGUUUACACUGAUAAAAUUAGCUUAAAGUA